GUUGACCUCGGAUCAGGUAGGAAUACCCGCUGAACUUAAGCAUAUCAUAGA
rnacentral:rRNA from 1 species